rnacentral:piRNA from 1 species
UGUGUCCCUUGAUAUUCUCCCA